GACUCUGAGCGGAGCUAACGAUGCUAACGAUGCUAACAGGCUCCAGCAGCUGCUGUGGCUCCUAAACUGGAGCUUCAGCUCCAACAGAGCUGAAUCAAAGCUCUACAACUCUGGUUUAGACGAUAAGAUGCUGAGCUUCCGGUCUGAAGAUCAGCCUCCAUUUUGAGCUGCAGGAUGGAAAUAACUUGCUGACUUGUUACUAGAGGCCAGAAGAUGGAAGAUCAGGACAGAGCAGAACCUCCAGGACCCAUCAGUCCAUCUAUGAAGAGUGACCUGUCCAAAACGUUUCCUCCAGACUUCAGUAAUGAACCUGGACCAUCAGACAGAAAGAGCUGUGAGUGUGAAGAAAGACCCAGAACAGGAGCUG